CCAUCAGCCAGGGUUGGGCUCCACUUACUGUUACAGACUGUCAGGUAACACCAUCAGCCAGGGUUGGGCUCCACUUACUGUUACAGACUGUCAGGUAAUACCAUCAGCCAGGGUUGGGCUCCACUUACAGACUGUCAGGUAAUACCAUCAGCCAGGGUUGGGCUCUUACUGUUACAGACUGUCAGGUAAUACCAUCAGCCAGGGUUGGGCUCCACUUACAGACUGUCAGGUAACACCAUCAGCCAGGGUUGGGCUCCACUUACAGACUGUCAGGUAACACCAUCAGCCAGGGUUGGGCUCCACUUACAGACUGUCAGGUAAUACCAUCAGCCAGGGUUGGGCUCCACUUACAGACUGUCAGGUAACACCAUCAGCCAGGGUUGGGCUCCACUUACAGACUGUCAGGUAAUACCAUCAGCCAGGGUUGGGCUCCACUUACAGACUGUCAGGUAAUACCAUCAGCCAGGGUUGGGCUCCACUUACAGACUGUCAGGUACUUCAUCAGCCAGGGUUGGGCUCCACUUAAGACUGUCAGGUAACACCAUCAGCCAGGGUUGGGCUCCACUUACUGUCUACAGAC